rnacentral:sRNA from 1 species
UAUUCUGCCCCAUGGGGAAGGAUGAGAAGCUUCGACUAAGGUUCGACUCGAGCGAAGCGAGAGAACGUUGCCGCAG